UACGUAGGGCGCAAGCGUUAUCCGGAAUUAUUGGGCGUAAAGAGCUCGUAGGCGGUCUGUCGCGUCUGCUGUGAAAACUCAGGGGCUUAACCCCUGAGCUUGCAGUGGGUACGGGCAGACUAGAGUGCGGUAGGGGAGACUGGAAUUCCUGGGUGUAGCGGUGAAAUGCGCAGAUAUCAGGAGGAACACCGGUGGCGAAGGCGGCCGACUGGGCCGACCCUGACGCUGGAGGCGCGAAGACGUGGGGGAGCGAACAGG
rnacentral:rRNA from 1 species